rnacentral:rRNA from 1 species
CCUACGGGUGGCAGCAGUGAGGAAUAUUGGUCAAUGGGCGUAAGCCUGAACCAGCCAAGUCGCGUGAAGGAUGAAGGUUCUAUGGAUCGUAAACCUCUUUUAUAAGGGAAUAAAGUGUGGGACGUGUCCUGUUUUGUAUGUACCUCAUGAAUAAGGAUCGGCUAACUCCGUGCCAGCAGCCGCGGUAAUACGGAGGGUCCGAGCGUUAUCCGGAUUUAUUGGGUUUAAAGGGUGCGUAGGCGGCCUUUUAAGUGCGCGGUGAAAGUCUGUGGCUCAACCAUAGAAUUGCCGUUGAAACUGGGAGGCUUGAGUAUGUUUGAGGCAGGCGGAAUGCGUGGUGUAGCGGUGAAAUGCUUAGAUAUCACGAAGAACCCCGAUUGCGAAGGCAGCAUGCGAAGGCAUGACUGACGCUGAUGCACGAAAGCGUGGGGAUCGAACAGGAUUAGAUACCCGUGUAGUC